AUUGAACGCUGGCGGAAUGCUUUACACAUGCAAGUCGAACGGCAGCACGGACUUCGGUCUGGUGGCGAGUGGCGAACGGGUGAGUAAUGUAUCGGAACGUGCCCAGUCGUGGGGGAUAACGUAGUGAAAAUUACGCUAAUACCGCAUACGAUCUAUGGAUGAAAGCGGGGGAUCGCAAGACCUCGCGUGAUUGGAGCGGCCGAUAGCAGAUUAGGUAGUUGGUGGGGUAAAGGCCCACCAAGCCAACGAUCUGUAGCUGGUCUGAGAGGACGACGAGCCACACGGGAGCUGAGACACGGUCCAGACUCCUACGGGAGGCAGCAGUGGGGAAUUUUGGACAAUGGGCGAAAGCCUGAUCCAGCCAUUCCGCGUGCAGGAAGAAGGCCCUCGGGUUGUAAACUGCUUUUGUACAGAACGAAAAGGUUUCUACUAAUACUAGGAGCUCAUGACGGUACUGUAAGAAUAAGCACCGGCUAACUACGUGCCAGCCGCCGCCGUAA
rnacentral:rRNA from 1 species